rnacentral:rRNA from 1 species
AGAGUUUGAUCAUGGCUCAGAUUGAACGCUGGCGGCAUGCCUUACACAUGCAAGUCGAACGCGAAAGGGGGCAACCCUGAGUAGAGUGGCGAACGGGUGAGCAAUACAUCGGAACACGUCCUGUAGCGGGGGACAACCCCGAGAAAUCGGGGCUAAUACCGCAUACGAUCCUAGGAUGAAAGUGGGGGACCGCAAGGCCUCACACUAUAGGAGUGGCCGAUGCCGGAUUAGCUAGUUGGUAGGGUAAAAGCCUACCAAGGCGACGAUCCGUAGCUGGUUUGAGAGAACGACCAGCCACACUGGGACUGAGACACGGCCCAGACUCCUACGGGAGGCAGCAGUGGGGAAUUUUGGACAAUGGGCGCAAGCCUGAUCCAGCCAUGCCGCGCGAGUGAAGAAGGCCUUCGGGUUGUAAAGCUCUUUCGGCCGGAACGAAAUCGCACCCGCGAAUAUCGGGUGUGGAUGACGGUACCGGAAGAAGAAGGACCGGCUAACUACGUGCCAGCAGCCGCGGUAAUACGUAGGGUCCAAGCGUUAAUCGGAAUUACUGGGCGUAAAGCGUGUGCAGGCGGUCUCGCAAGUCCGAUGUGAAAUCCCCGGGCUCAACCUGGGAACUGCGUUGGAAACUACGAGGCUCGAGUGCGGCAGAGGGGGGUGGAAUUCCAGGUGUAGCAGUGAAAUGCGUAGAUAUCUGGAGGAACACCGAUGGCGAAGGCAGCCCCCUGGGUCAGCACUGACGCUCAUACACGAAAGCGUGGGGAGCAAACAGGAUUAGAUACCCUAGUAGUCC